UCAGAACAUUGAAGAUACCAAUGAACUCAUAGCAUCCAUGGCCAGAUAGGGGGAUGGCCAGGACUGGCUUUGUCUUCGAGGAAAGCAGACAUCAGAUGGCUGUGUUGAGCAUGACUCCCAGAUAGGAUUGAGCCCAAUUUCUGAAGCCUCUCCUGAUCUGUGAAAACAAAACAGGACUUUGAUUCUGAAGAGGACAUCAGUCAAAGACAACUUCACUUGGCAAAGGUGACGCACCUGAGAGAAUGAGUCUUAAGCACUAAGAUUUCCACUAAGGUAUGAGGCUGAAACCUUGGACCUCUGAAUGGCUGAGCACCAGGACAUUGUACAUAACCUCGAAGACAAGUUGUCUAUAUUACAGACUCUUCAAAUGAC